CUACAACUCCCAUAGCAUGCAGUGCCUGUCACCUCUGUAUUGUGCCUGUCACUUCUGUCGUUAAGUACAGAGAGGUCGUAGUCUCAAACAGGUAGAUCGUUAAAUGGUUUUGAAGAGUUCGCGAGCGUAAUUCACACUUUUGGUGUCAUGAUGGAGAUUGAGGAUGGAAAACCAUUGCACGAGCGGAGAUUUGAUGCCGCUGUCAAAGUGAUACAGAGCUUGCCUCCAGACGGUUCUUUUCAGCCCUCCAAUGACAUGAUGCUCAAGUUUUACAGUUACUACAAACAGUCCACACUAGGACCCUGCAACACACCCAGACCUGGUUUCUGGGACCCCAUGGGCAAAGUCAAAUGGGAUGCAUGGAAUGAUCUGGGAGAAAUGCCCAAGGAAGAGGCAAUGAUUGCUUAUGUUGAUGAAUUGAAGCUGAUCCUUGAGGGCAUGCCCUGUACUACUGAGGUAGAGCAGCUGCUGCUGGUGUUGGGCCCCUUCUAUGAGCAGGUGCAAGAGAAGAAACACAUAAAUCAGGUUUCCGACCUGUCUGCAGGUUUUGGGACCAUGAUUACGUCAGCACCUUCAAAAAGUGUCACAAGGAGCAUCAUCAGGACAAUGGAAAUGAAUGGCACUUUGGAGACACGGCCACCCAGGCCGGCGGCUGAGCCUCCAAAGCCCAAAGUCAUGGCAGUGAAGGAACAGGGGGAGGAGGAGGAAGAGGAGUUUGAGUUUGAUGAGGAAGAUGAAGUUGAAGAAGAAGAAAUUGCUGAGAUCAAGGAGGUGAAAAAAGCAAAUGAAAAGUCGAGGAAAAAGGGCUCAUCCAGGAGACCUAAAGUCCCCCUGUCCGAAGGUAAUGUGAGGAACGGGAUGAGCCACUUUUCCAAUGGGACCCACACCUCCAAGGCUGCGCUGAACAAUGAGGACUCAGAGGAGCGCCUCUUGAACAGCACCCUGCCCCUGGAGCCUCAUGUCCAGGUCAACGGCCACCACGCAGAUCUGGAUGUAUCCUGGCCCCGUCAUGUGGCCAGUGACUCAGACAGCGAGGUCUACUGUGACUCUAUGGACCAGUUUGGCCUGGAAGAGGGCUCUGAGGCACACACUGACCGCUGUCUGGAGCUGGAUGAGGAAGAGCAGGGGGAGAGCCACAGCCCUCUGUCCGAUCAGGAAGGGCCCGCCGAGGCACCGUGUGGGACCCCUGAGGACUCCCAGGGGCCACCCAAGGGCAUCCAGUGUGGCGGGGAGGAUGGGGAGACGAGUGGAGGGGCCUCUCAGAGACAGAGACUGAAUACAGAUAGGGUCGAUAACUCCCUGGUUAGGAGAGAACGAGGCUCCAGGUCUUCAGGGCACGGCGUGGAGGCCCAGGGGCCCUUGCAGGGUAGCGGAGGGGACGGGGAACGAUGGGGUGGAGCGGGGGCAACAGGAGGCAGUCUGAAUGAGCAGAUCGUAGUGGCGCUGGCCAGACUGCAGGAGGACAUGCAGAGUGUCCUGGAGAGAUUGCACACACUCGAGGCCCUCACUGCAUCCCAGUCGUUGGCUCUACCAUACCCACCAUCACCCCUGGCAAAUAAGGGUAGUAAGAAACCAUCCUGGUGGCCUUUUGACGUGUCUCCUAGCGCUGUUGCCUUUGCUGUGGCAUGGCCAUUUGUGGCGCAGUGGCUUAUCCGCCUAUAUCUUCAACACGAAUCAACUGAAAAGUCUCCCGUCCCAAAGACACAGAGCGACGAUGAGAGCUCUCUCAACAGUCUCUGGUUGGGUAACGGCCGUAGCCUCCCUUCCGCUUUCCCACCCACACCUCUGUAACUCUAGCUUUUGCACUAUGAAGAUGGCACUAGGAGUAGUGAGUUGGGGGAAGCCUCACAACCCACUGAGUAGUGAGUUGGGGGAAGCCUCACAACCCACUGAGUAGUGAGUUGGGGGAAGCCUCACAACCCUACAAUUGAAAUCAAAGAGAAAUGUGAAUGAAUUGAACUGCAGCUUUUAUAAAUCAUGCAAUAUUAUACAACUACUGUACUACAUUAGUACUUUUUUUUUUUUGCUCUGAAGAAAUGACGAUGAUUUAACUUGGGCGGGUAAAGUUAUUGGUUGUGUAUGUUGAGUAUAGCUUAUUUUCUUGCUAAUGUUCCGUACGUCUUACGGCACGGAUCGGCAACUUUGAUGGGGGGUGUGUUCCAAGAAGAAGAAAAAAAAACGAAACUCCCCUUUUUAGCGGUUCGUCUCCUGACAGCGAAAAAAUUGACGUUUUAAACUUAAUUUCCUGCAAUUCUGCAUAUUUUGCCAUGGGGCGUACAGAAAAAUGUUGCCGUUUUAAAUAUGACUGAUGAUCAGUGGGCCCCACCCCAGUUAGUAAUUUAACCAUGUUUACUACAAGUUUAGACAGCUGGCCACUAGACUAGCUAAACUAACUGACCAAUGUAAAAACAUUUAGCUGACCUGGGCUUAUUGAGUGACUGCUGAUUGCACAACAAAAACUGAAUGUCGAAAUUGCAGCUUAUGUAUUCUACUAUUCUAACUCUCCAACAUUUUAUUUUGUCGGUCAAAUUGGUCAGCGGGCCUUCAAAAGGGGAGGGGGUCGCGGGUCCGCCAGUUGCCCAUCCCUUACAGCAUUAUAAGAACUAUCCAACUGGUCCUGCAAAUGGACAUGCUGCAACAGAAACCUUACGCCAUAUAUCAUAAUAGUUGCUCAGGCUGCUAAUAUAUGGCGAUAACGCUAGGUAGAUAAGUGUGUGUAUAAAUAUAUAAUAAUGUAUUUGUGGAAAGGUGCAUUUAAAUUCUGAAAAUGUGUUAAUUUUCAUUUAAUAUUAGAAAUAAUAAAUUAAGACUUUAUUGUCUCGUUUUUGGUUAGGUUGUACAUUACUGCUAGGAUGUGAAUGGUUCAGAUUAAGAAUAUUUUUUUAAUAUCGAAUCGGCUGUUAUACACUCGAUUUGUGUAUAUUUAGAAUUUCAUCAACUCAUGAUAAGGUGCCUCACCAAUGUAGCUGUGUAUAGUACAUGGGGGAUGGGGCCUAGCGCUUAAGAAUGUUGUGCUAGUGACCGGAAGGUUGAUGGUUCAAAUACCCGAGCCGACUAGGUGGGGGAAAAAAAGUCUGUCGACGUGCUAUGCAUUUAACCCUAAUUGCUCUGGAUACGAGCGUCUGCUAAAAUGUUUUAUUUGAGUAAAACAUCUCAAACGUAAAAUUGUAAUGUUGGUCCAAAUUCUGAGAAAAAUAAAGAUGUGAAACUCUAAUUGAACACUCAAAUAUUACCACCUCAGAAGAAAUAAAACGUUUAGUAGUGAUGGGAGAUACGCUUUUCAAAUAAAUAUAUUGUACUUUUUUUGAUGAUGACUGUUCAUAUUUUUUAUGUUCAAAAGUUUUGUGGGUCACUUAGAAAUGUCCUUGUUUUCCAUGAAAACAUACAUGAAAUGAGUUGCAAAAUGAAUAGGAAAUAUAGUCAAGACGUUGACAAGGUUAUAAAUAAUGAUUUUUAAUUGAAAUAAUA